AGCAAGGAAGUGGCUGUGGCAUGGCAUCAACCGUGAAGCAUGAGGUGCAGGGUUUGACAGUCUCAGAAACAGGGUCUUCCAAAAUAGUGGUCUCAGUUCUGCGUGGGAGGGAAGAGCUCUUGUAAGAGGGUUGCAGAGGCACUUGCUGCAUUUCAGAGGCACUUUCUGGGUUUCCCCUGCAGGCUCAGCUGUGGGUCCUCAGGCAGAGCUGAGUUAGUUCUGUAAUGUAAAACUACAUUUAUUUACAUAAUAACUUUCAGUCUAUCCAGCAAAGCCUUCCUGGAACAGACUAUCAGAUGAAUGUCGAAUAACUUUCUUAAAAGGGAAAAGGGACUUCACGCAAAGCCUUUCAGGAGUCUAGCUCAUAGCAAAUACCGUUGGGAUCUUGCACGGCAACAGUCUGGGUGAAGAACUGGAACAAUUCGAGCGUGCUGUCUCCAGAGAUUACUCAGAAAAAAAAAAGAAAAAGACCUUAUCUGCUUGAGCCCACGCCUGGAAAAGAAAAUGCAUGCACUGGGCUGAAUUCACCUGAGGCUCCUGCCAGGACAGACAUUGCAAGCCUACUUGGUUGAGGCCUAAAAGUAUGUCAGGACAUCACAACGCAGGUGCAGAGAGAGGCCAGAUGGGACCGUGCGAACCUAGAACUAGCACCCAGUUUCUUGAGCAAGUUCUGCUGCGACAACAUACUUUCAAAGAGCACCAGCACAUGGGAGAAGACAAAAAUCUUUCUUAGGUAAGUAGUACAUUGGCUAGUUCAGUGUUAGCAGCCCUUUUCCUUCUGUAUUCACUUUUCCUAUGGAAACUGUUGAGUCCAUAGCUCUAUUAUUCAUCUUCCCCUCUUCCUUCCUGAGGUUGGCUUC
rnacentral:lncRNA from 1 species